ACUCUUGGAGGAAAGUUACUAAGGUGCCUUUUUAAGUGCACCAGAACAGGUAAUUAAACCACAAAUGUGCCCUAAAUUUAGAUGCAGAGUUUCCCUGAAUUUCAAUUAUUAUAUGGAUUAAGACUGGCAGCUCCCACCUGGACGAUACCUUAAUCAAAAAGAGAACAAGUGUGAAGAAAACAAGGGCAAUAAUAACAUUACCAGCACUGUACUAAUCAAAUGCCCACAAAUAGUUCAGAACAACGGUGCUAAAAAGCCGCUUUAAUUCUGAAACAGAAAGUCCUGAGACACCGAGCGCCAUCUAGCAAGCAAAGUUAGAAUCAAAGUACGCCCGAGUCGAGCACAGAGGGAGAGAGGAUGGCGAGGUAAAGGGGGACUUCGAGAUCACUUGCUGUGAUUUAACCGUCUGCCCAGUCUCACCUGAGCCCAGAGCUACCUGCAAGUUUCUGCUCUUCGCCUCACCGAAUUUAACGACUGAGGGCAGGGAGGUACAUCUGCGAGACUCCCCACCCCAUGGCAGCCUUACCUCCGUGCAGAACUCCCAAUUAUCACACGUUCGUGAUGACUGAGCCCAAGGGAAUUAAGAUGGACUUUGAAGCAGCUUUUACGGUACACUUCAUCUACAUUUGGGUUUUCUUUAGUUCUCAUUAAAAGGGCCACUUUCUUCUUUUCAUUGA